UGAUGACAAGGACUGAGGCUUCUUAGUCCUGACUCUGCAGCCUGCGAAGUUCAGCCCCAAAUCACCCAACAGCUCUUGUGCAGGGAGCUGCUUUACGGAGCAACCCCUGGUGCUGGAUUGUUCUCACGGUGAAAAGUCUGGUGUUGGCCCAGCAGAACGAGCUCCCUGCAGAAAGAAGAGCAGAAGAGCUGCCCCUUCCCUCCUUCCUGGCAGAGCAGGUGGAUCUGUGGCUGUUCCGUGUGUGCAGCGAAGCUGGCACCGACCCCCUCCUCUGCCGGCAGCCGAGGGGAAGGAAAGCUCGGCGUAACCUUCGGUGUGUUAUUUAUUAUCACUUCGCAGCCCCCUGGAAAAUGAAGUUUGGAGGCCCGUGAGCCGAUGCCUCCACGCAGACACAUGUUUUUUGCUACAUCAUUAUUUUGAUACCCGGUGGUUUGUUCUGCUGGUUGUGGGUUGUUUGCCAAGGGCCUUGGAGCAGCAGAGCUCAGGAAUGCAGCCUGUAAGCUGAAGAGUGUCACUGAAACCUGCUUUUUCAGAGGCCAAGUACCACAGGUGAAAUCAUUGUGACCAGCAGAUUGAGGCAGGUUCCUCUGAGGAGAAAAAAACAGAGCAAGGGCCUGGAGGAGUUGUCAGCUGAGUGGGCUCUGCAGUGUAGGAAGCAGGAACACCUCACCAUGGAGACCCUGUUGGAACCAGAACUGUCCAUGAUCCAGGAAUGAUGGCAAGGGAAGGGGUAUUUCACUGGGAACAGCCCACAGUGAGAUGCAGAGGGACACUGAGAACCUCACCCCUGGCUUGUGCAAAGUGUCUAAAAGUUACUGAGUUUCCUUUUUUCCGGUUUCUUCUGGGACUUUAGGAAGUGAUGACAUUCCCUUCCUGGAGAGGCAGCACGUGCACAGGUUUUUUUACACAAAUGAGAUCCAUUGGCCACUGUGGCUCCCUGAGUUCAGAGCACUCCAAGGGUGACUGUUCAACCACUGCUCUGCUGUUUGCACAUCAUCUCUGCAUGAAAUGGUUACAGACCCCAAGGAUCCAACCCAUCCCUGUAAAUGCUCAGCACGGCACAGAACUGCUCCUUGUUUUCCUUCCCCCUCCCUCCAGCAGGCAGGUAUUUUACACGAGUUCACAACUGGUUUCAUUCUAACCUUCAGUACCAAAAUAUUCCCAUGUGCCUCUAUGAAAGGACUUUACUUUCAAGUUAAUCUUUUAAAGCUGCAACUCAAAGGUUUACUGAAUAACUAGAGGUUUACCUUAAAAUUUAGGUUACUCAGCAUUACAGGGAAGUUGUACCUUCACACCAAAACCUGGCUCCUCCAGGGAGUGACACUGAGGGUUCCAGUUCCUGUGGGUUUAAGGUGUUAAAGGACACUCAUUCCUCAUCUUCAGCGUGGUUAUGGUUAAUGAGACAAAUACUGAUUUGAUGUACAACGUUGGAAAAAAAAUGUUAUUUUUAUUAUUUUAAAACUUUACUUUUGAAGAUGUUGUUGUGAAGUCAAACAAGCUGGUGAUUUCCUCUCCCCCCCCCUUCCAGGCACUACUCCCCCCAGCUCCAAACCCUCCCUGCAUCUGAGAGAGGGGAAAAC